rnacentral:rRNA from 1 species
UACGAAGGGGGCUAGCGUUGCUCGGAAUGACUGGGCGUAAAGGGCGCGUAGGCGGAUGGCACAGUCAGAUGUGAAAUUCCCGGGCUUAACCUGGGGCUGCAUUUGAUACGUGUUGUCUAGAGUGAGGAAGAGGGUUGUGGAAUUCCCAGUGUAGAGGUGAAAUUCGUAGAUAUUGGGAAGAACACCGGUGGCGAAGGCAGGUCUCUGGGCAUUAACUGACGCUGAGGAGCGAAAGCAUGGGAGGCGAACAGG